GCUCAACCGGGGAGGGUCAUUGGAAACUGGGGAACUUGAGUGCAGAAGAGGAGAGUGGAAUUCCACGUGUAGCGGUGAAAUGCGUAGAGAUGUGGAGGAACACCAGUGGCGAAGGCGACUCUCUGGUCUGUAACUGACGCUGAGGCGCGAAAGCGUGGGGAGCGAACAGGAUUAGAUACCCUGGUAGUCCACGCCGUAAACGAUGAGUGCUAAGUGUUAGAGGGUUUCCGCCCUUUAGUGCUGCAGCAAACGCAUUAAGCACUCCGCCUGGGGAGUACGGUCGCAAGACUGAAACUCAAAGGAAUUGACGGGGGCCCGCACAAGCGGUGGAGCAUGUGGUUUAAUUCGAAGCAACGCGAAGAACCUUACCAGGUCUUGACAUCCCCUGACAACCCUAGAGAUAGGGCUUCCCCUUCGGGGGCAGAGUGACAGGUGGUGCAUGGUUGUCGUCAGCUCGUGUCGUGAGAUGUUGGGUUAAGUCCCGCAACGAGCGCAACCCUUGAUCUUAGUUGCCAGCAUUCAGUUGGGCACUCUAAGGUGACUGCCGGUGACAAACCGGAGGAAGGUGGGGAUGACGUCAAAUCAUCAUGCCCCUUAUGACCUGGGCUACACACGUGCUACAAUGGGCAGAACAAAG
rnacentral:rRNA from 1 species